rnacentral:rRNA from 2 species
CCUACGGGAGGCAGCAGUGGGGAAUAUUGGACAAUGGGCGCAAGCCUGAUCCAGCCAUACCGCGUGGGUGAAGAAGGCCUUCGGGUUGUAAAGCCCUUUUGUUGGGAAAGAAAUCCUAUCGGUUAAUAACCGGUGGGGAUGACGGUACCCAAAGAAUAAGCACCGGCUAACUUCGUGCCAGCAGCCGCGGUAAU